CGUUGAGUAGCUUUUCGCUUUAAAAUGUUUUGGUGUCAGAGCCAGGUGAAAUGUCCCGUACAACAAAUAUCCAACAAGUCGUAUCUUCAAGUACUGUGCAUCUUUCUUAAUUUUCAAGUCUUCCACAUUGAAUUUUCAGAAUACAUAACGACGCAACUGUAGACGUUUUAACUUUGGUAACUGAAUUGAAUUGUUUCAUUUUGGAAUAUUCAUUGACAUAAGAUGAUACAUCAUUCAAUAUAAUUAUCCACCAAUGUUGUCAGCCAGCAAAUGAAAGGCAUAUUAUUGUAUACUUCUGAUAUCUGUAAAUAUUAAUGCAACGGUAUUAGUGGAUGCAAUUAUGUAUAAUGUAACAUGGAUUUCAUAAGCCAUACAGUCCGAGCUUUUCCCGCGACAUGACUAGAUGUUAAUAAGACGUAGCAACAUACCAAAAUUGUUCUAUUUUUAGUACUUUUGUUAAAUGAAGUUAUCGUUAAUGUGACCAUGUUAAUGUAUAAAGAUAUCUAAAAAAGAAAAAAAACAAUUAAACACAUAAAUACAGGAAAGAGAGAGGGGAAGCGAGAGAGGGGAAAGGAGAGAGGGGAAAAGAGAAAAAGAAAACUUACCUAAAUGUAGCCAACGUCCACACAAGGACUUAUUUUUAUAACAUUGCGAGUGGCACAGCGGCUUGUCUUAAUAAUAUUGGCAGUGGACUGCGGCUUGUCUUAAUAACACUGGGAGUGGCGCAAUGGCUUUCCUUAAUAACAUUCGCAGUGGCACAAUGCCUUGCUAUCUUUGCGAUACCUUAAUUGAACGGUAUAUAAUUAUUAUUCCUAUGUCCUAAAGGAAGCCCAUAUUGCUUUAUGAUCACUAAAGUAAGUUUCUAGGAUACCAGCUUCAAUUUCCUCUUCAAUUAAAUUUGUGUAUAAAUGAUCAAUUAACGUUCUGUUGUCGGUUGUAAAGCCUGUUAUCAGUUGCCUGUAAUGAUUUUGUACAACCAUCAAAUUGUAGAGUGACUGUCGAUCAGAUUCUACCAUCCAGUUGACAUUGAAAUGUCCAAUUAUAAUGUUUUGUGCAGAAGAAUCUUCAUCAAGUACGCUACGUAGUGAAGACAGUAGACGUGAUAUAGCAAUACUGGGUGAGCGAUAUACUCCAAUUAUACUUAGAUGCGGAUUACUUUCUGUUUUAAUAAUUGUAAACUCGAUUUCAUUGACGUUGUGAGUAUAAGGGUAUCCUUCUUUUAAAGGGACUCGACUAUAAACAGCUGUUCCACCGUAUGGACGUCCUGGACCCGUACCUUGGGAAACAUCAUUUCUGAACAACCUGUAGC